rnacentral:rRNA from 1 species
AGAGUUUGAUCCUGGCUCAGAUUGAACGCUGGCGGCAGGCCUAACACAUGCAAGUCGAACGGUAACAUUUCUAGCUUGCUAGAAGAUGACGAGUGGCGGACGGGUGAGUAAUGCUUGGGAACUUGCCUUUGCGAGGGGGAUAACAGUUGGAAACGACUGCUAAUACCGCAUAAUGUCUUCGGACCAAACGGGGCUUCGGCUCCGGCGCAAAGAGAGGCCCAAGUGAGAUUAGCUAGUUGGUAAGGUAACGGCUUACCAAGGCGACGAUCUCUAGCUGUUCUGAGAGGAAGAUCAGCCACACUGGGACUGAGACACGGCCCAGACUCCUACGGGAGGCAGCAGUGGGGAAUAUUGCACAAUGGGGGAAACCCUGAUGCAGCCAUGCCGCGUGUAUGAAGAAGGCCUUCGGGUUGUAAAGCACUUUCAGUUGUGAGGAAAAGUUAGUAGUUAAUACCUGCUAGCCGUGACGUUAACAACAGAAGAAGCACCGGCUAACUCCGUGCCAGCAGCCGCGGUAAUACGGAGGGUGCGAGCGUUAAUCGGAAUUACUGGGCGUAAAGCGCACGC